rnacentral:lncRNA from 1 species
UGGAGUCCAUCCGUCAUGAAGAAUCUAGUCGACGCUGGUGGGGGUUUAUCCGUCAGCAAAACUUGGGAGUGUUGCGGAGGCUCGGCCACCAGAGAGGUUCGGAGAGAUGUCACCGAAGGUCGGAAGUCAGUAGAAUCCCUGGAGGGUCAUUCCUGUCAUGAACUUCGGCUGGGGGGUAUUUUAUACCCAACAAGUAUGAUCUCUUAUACAGCUUGUCCUCAUAGAGGAUGUACCGGGAGGCUUGAUUUCUGAGCUUCCGGGCUUCUUUUGCAUCAUGAGGGAGAACCCCAUCCCUGAGAUAUGCCACCAGCGGGUCGAUCCAACUGGGCUCAUGAUCAAUUUCCAUCACGGGCCGCGAUUCCUUUGUACUUGGACACUUCAGAACUUCAAAAAGAACACCCUUGAGCAACUCAGCUGGAGCCAGCGUAGCUAGCUUGGAGAG